UGACGCUGGAAAUCUAAAAGGCGCCUACUAUGCUCAGGAUCUCACGAUUGACCGAACAUGGUUUCCCGUUAUUAAAGAGCAACCAGGAAGUAACAUAACUUGGAUAUUUGCCAAUUUUUAUAUUAUGUUGAAAAUGUAUACGACGGCUUGGUCGGAACGUGAUCGGAGAACGAACAGGGUAGUUUUAUCAUGAGAUUUUGGCGUUACAAGUGUUCUUUCUAAAAUGGCGUGUGCACAACGGCCAUCAAGCUACGGGGAAAUAUUAGCUGAGCUCUCAUCGUAUCUGACAAAAUGCCAAGUAACUGUAAGACGAGAAAAUGUAUUCAAAGAUUUAGUUGAAAUUCUCCUAAGGCCUGAGGCCGAAAAGUCCCGGUUUGAGGUUAAAUUUACAAACGAUGGAUGGACAGAGCCAGCUACGGAUGGAGGUGGACCAAGAAAUCAGUUAUUUACCCUAUUUUAUCAAGAAUGUUUGACUCCGGAAAGAUGCAUGUUUAGUGGUCGAGGUCAGGAACUGUUUCCGGUUGACAAUCCAGCUGCAUUGACUGGCCGCUGGUUUUUCUGUCUCGGGAGGGCGAUUGUCCUCUCCCUCGUGCAGCAAGGGGCAGGCUUUCCGUACCUAGCGAGAAGCUGUUACAAGAAAAUAUUAUAUAAAGAAGGUGUUCCCGAACAUGAAAACAUGGCAAAAUUACUUCAAAAACUCACCAAGGCUCAGACUCAGGCUAGGACCGAGGAGGAGCUGCUUCAUUACCUGGGAGACAGUGAGAUCAAGCUCCUGUUGAAAGAGAUGCAGGUCACGGAAUGUGAAACGACAAAAACAGAAACAAUGUACCACUUAAAAAACUUUAUAACACUACAAAGUUGCACGAAGGCCCUCGCACAGCUAACUGAGGGUUUACAAAGUCUGGGAUUUCUGGACAAGGUCAAACAGUAUGGAAGUGAUCUGGAACGAUUUUUUGUUCAUACCGAAGGCUUUUAUGUGGACAGUGUAUUUAUGCAAAACCAAUUACUUGAUCCGCUGAUGGACUUACAAACCACAUCUGAGAAGCAGAAUGAAGUCAAAGAAUGGGCUGCCUUAUGUUUGACAAGCAUGACUGACGAGCAGGCUGUUAACCUGUAUGAGUUUAUCACAGGAAUGCGUUCACUACCUCCAGGAGAGUGUGUCAUCAUGAUAGCAUUUAAUGCUCAAAAAACGUCAGACAAACUUCCACGUGCAGUCACGUGCGCAUCUCUUCUCCUGCUACCUCUCGGCAAUGAAUCGGUCAAAGAGUUCAUCCGUUCAUUCAAAACUGCACUCGAAAACCGGUCGGAGUUCGGCAGGAUUUGAUUGGUUAAUUAUGUCAACACGUUUGAUUCACAACACAUUCCUGUUUUGAUUCAUGAAAUCUUAUCAUUGGUGCUACACGUUUUGUUAUAUCUUUAUGCCAAUAAGUUGAAGAAUAAUAAAAACAGGAAAAGUUGCAGAACCUCCAAUUUAAAUAUGUAUCAUUUGUACCUGUUUCAUGGCAGAUUGCACAUCGAGGGUGUGAACAAAUGUUGGAAAAUAAUAAAACAAAAUGAUGGUUUACAAUUGUAAGACACAGUCCAUUUAUUCAAAAUAAACAAACAUGUCAACUACCGCGUUAGAUGAAGUAAAUGUGCUUCAUGUUCUUUACCUCAUUGCCUACAUUAUUUGAUUGAUUUCAAAAUGUUUCAUUAGAAAGUAAUAGACACUAUGAAAAUGAUACCAUCCUACAUAAACAUAUCCUCGAUAUCCAGAGGUUACGUUCACCUUCGCUGUACCCCUGCAAAAUUGAACUUUCAGUGUGCGCCACCUUGUUCCUUUGAUAUACAUCAAAUGAAAAUUGACAGGCUUUGAAGUCGGAUGUCGCUCCUUUGUAAUCUUCAAAGGACAGGUGUCAACCUAGGUAUUGGUCAGUAUUUUUCCUGAGACCAAUAAAACAGCUAUCUUCGUGCCUUCAAUAUUCUAUGACAUAUUCCAGGGGUGUAGAAAGCGAAAAUGAGCGUAACCCCUGGAUAUCGAGGAUGACCUUAACACGACUUCUAUCAUUCUUAGGGAAAAGUCUAGGGAAAAGACACAAUGUGUCACAAAUAUAAAUAAUACUGAUAUUUCAAUCGUAAUCUGUAAAUUAAGAUGCUAAUUUAUCUUUGUAAUCAAUGUAAUUAAAAAUCAAUAGCAACAUGAAAGGUCUAUUCUGGUAAUCAAUGUAAUUAAUCGAUCAAUACCUACGUGAAAGAUCUAUUCAGGUAAUCAAUGUACUUAAUCGAUCAAUAGCUACGUGAAAGAUCUAUUCUGGUAAUUAAUCGAUCAAUAGCUACGUGAAAGGUAUAUUCUGGUAAUCAAUGUAAUUAAUCGAUCAAUAGCUACGUGAAAGAUCUAUUCUGGUAAUCAAUGUAAUUAAUCGAUCAAAAGCUACGUGAAAGAUCUAUUCAGGUAAAUAAUCGAUCAAUAGCUCCGUGAAAGGUCUAUUCAGGUAAUUAAUCGAUCAAAAGCUACGUGAAAGGUCUAUUCUGGUAAUCAAUGUAAUUUAUCGAUCAAUAGCUACGUGAAAGAUCUAUUCUGGUAAUCAAUGUAAUUAUACAAUCAAUAGCUACGUGAAAGAUCUAUUCUGGUAAUCAAUGUAAUUAAUCGAUCAAUAGCUACGUGAAAGAACUAUUCAUGUAAUCAAUGUAAUUAAUCGAUCAAUAGCUACGUGAAAGGUCUAUUCUGGUAAUCAAUGUAAUUAAUCGAUCAAUAGCUACGUGAAAGAUCUAUUCUAGUUAACACUCAUUUCCAGUUUGAACAUUAUAAAUGCACAGCUUUGCUUUUAUCUUACCUCUUUGAUAUGUUCCUCUUUGCGACUCAAUUAAGCGUUGUUAUCCUAAUCAGUUUAGACUGAAAUGUUCAGUAAAAUCUGUUUUGGUUUACCUCACCUUGAAAUACUUUGUAUGUACACCUUAUUUAUCGUUUUGUGUUAAGUCAACAAAUAGCAUGAAAGACGUGUUUAAUGGUUUGCGUGACAUGAGCAGGUGUUUAUGCAUCGUAUGUUAGACUUUAAAAUACUUUAAUCAGUUGAAGUCAUGAUUAUGAUUAUCUAUGAGUUACCACUGCAAGUACAUCUUACAUGUUUUAAUUGAGAUGUAUAGCAGGAUGUAAAGAAUAUACCAUCAUAACGAAACAUGUAACGAACAAUAAAAUUAAAAUUCAGCAAAGUGCGUCAACAAGGUGUAACGGGACAACUAAGGAUCGUGACCAAGUCACAUCAUGUUUCAUUGAGACAUAUGCAAUACUGUGUGGUCUUCAUUUUGAAUCUUUUGGAAUUUUUGAAUUUUUCCGUGUUUUUAAAAGUAAUGCUACUAGUCAGUCAACUCGUAUGACAAAUUUUGCAAGUCAUACUUUAUUAUUUGUUGAACAUAAACCUUGGUUUAAUGAUCAUCUCAUAAACUUACGUACAACUUACUUGUCAGCUCUGAGAAAUUUUAAUCGUGACAAAAGCUUGAUUAAUCAUAGUAAUUUGAUUAUCAACAAGAUAAGGUACAAGGCUGUUGAAUCUAAAUAUCAAAGACAGUAUUUGAGUGAAGAGGGUGAUACGCUGAAAUUUGUACAAAGACACAGCCCAAAGUCAUUUUAUAAACUUUUUACUAAACGUAAUAACAAAGUGCCGUUAAUUGAAUUAAAUCAGUUAUAUGAACAUUUUAAGGAUUAGGCGAACCCAGUAAACAAUAAUACUGUUUCUGAUCAUUCUGAUCAAUCACAAGAUGACGAUACAAAUAGUACUAGUUCAGAUAACAUUGCCUUUGAAGAGCUUGAAGCUAGCAUAACGGAGGAGGAAAUUCUUACAACAAUUCGUAAGUUAAAAGAAGCUAAUAUCAUGGCCUGGAUGGUAUUUUAAAUGAUUGUCUUUUUUUGAAUGUAAACACAUCUUGGUUCCUCUUCUAGUUAAAAUGUUUAAUUACAUUUUUGAUAUAUUCCAGAAUGUUAGUCAUCGGCCAUUAUUUUUCCAGUACAUAAAAAACGUAUUUCAACUGACCCAAAUGACUUCAGAGGGAUUAGCUUGGUUAGUUGUGUAUGUAAACUAUUUACGUCUAUUUUGAUUAAUCGUUUGUUAAACAUUUGUGAAAAUAAUGACAUCUUGAGUGAUGCACAGUUUGGUUUCCGACCAGUAUUAAGUACAGUUGAUGCUAUUUUCCCCUCAAUGCAAUAAUAACUAAAGCACUAUCAUCUAAGAACAAGUUGCAUUGCUGUUUUGUUGAUUUCAAGAAAGCAUUCGACUAUGUUGAUAGAACAAGUCUCUGGUCUAAACUUAUAAAGACUGGAAUUAGUGGAAAAUUUUGAAGAGUUGUUAAAUCCCUUACAGCUGUAUAAAAUCCUGAGUUACAGUUAAAGGAAAUUAUUCUGACUUUUCCCCAAAUAAUAUCUAUCUAUCUAACUAUAUGUUAUCCACAGAGACCAAAAUGUCUUUAAUGCGGAGGGGAGAAUUACAAGGAGAAAAUGUAUCUCCUUGUGAGUCAUUUUUUAUUAAUAAUAAUACUGAUUACUAUACUUUUGGUGAACUUACUCUAUUCUUACUAUUAUACGCUGAUGAUUUAGUGUUGUUAUCAGAAAGGACUCCAGAAUAUGAUAAAUAUUCAUCAGAUUGGAAAUUGACUGUUAACACUGAUAACACUAAAAUUGUUGUUUUCCGUAAUUGUUACAGAAUUUCAGAAAAUGAAACCUAAAUGUUUGAUGGUACCCCUAUUUAAAUUGUUGAUGAGUUCUGUUAUCUAGUUAUGCAUUUUACAUAUAAUAAUAAUUAAGUUAUUGUCCAAAGUUAUUGAUAUGGUCAAGGCAGAAAAGCUCUUUUUGCUUUAUACUCUAAAUGUAAAGUUUUAAGUCUAAAUGUAAAAACAAUGUUAAAUCUUUUUGACACUUAUGUCAGCAGGAUUUUAUGUUAUGCAUCUCAGAUAUGGCAUUCUCUUUGCACUGUUUGUACUCCAUGACAUAUCAUGUUAUUUGAUUGUUUAGCUGAUGAGCAAAAUUGCUCAAGGCCUAUUAAAGAACUUGGACUUGA
rnacentral:misc_RNA from 1 species